UACGUAGGGUGCGAGCGUUGUCCGGAAUUAUUGGGCGUAAAGAGCUCGUAGGUGGUUUGUCGCGUUGUCCGUGAAAACUCACAACUCAAUUGUGGGCGUGCGGGCGAUACGGGCAGACUGGAGUACUGCAGGGGAGACUGGAAUUCCUGGUGUAGCGGUGGAAUGCGUAGAUAUCGAGAGGAACACCUGCGGCGAAGGCGGGUUGCUGGGCUGACACUGACGCUGAACUGCGAAAGCUAGGGGAGCGAACGGG
rnacentral:rRNA from 1 species